rnacentral:rRNA from 1 species
UCCGUAGGUGUUUUGUCAAGUCUGUCGUCAAAGAAUGGAGCUUAACUCCAUAGAGGCGGUGGAAACUGAGAGACUAGAGUUCGGUAGGGGUAGCGGGAAUUCCCAGUGUAGCGGUGAAAUGCGUAGAUAUUGGGAAGAACAUCGGUGGCGAAAGCGCGCUACUGGGCCGAAACUGACACUGAGGGACGAAAGCUAGGGUAGCGAAAG